rnacentral:rRNA from 1 species
GACAGAGGUGCCAAGCGUUAGGCGGAAUCACUGGGCUUAAAGCGUGUGUAGGCGGGUCGUUAAGUACCUUGUGAAAUCCCACGGCUCAACCGUGGAACUGCUUGGUAUACUGGCGAUCUUGAGCCAGCUAGGGGCUACCGGAACAAACGGUGGAGCGGUGAAAUGCGUAGAUAUCGUUUGGAACGCCAAUGGUGAAAACAGGUAGCUGGGGCUGUGCUGACGCUGAGACACGAAAGCGUGGGGAGCAAACAGG